UACGUAGGGGGCAAGCGUUGUCCGGAAUUAUUGGGCGUAAAGAGCUCGUAGGCGGCUUGUCACGUCGGGUGUGAAAGCCCGGGGCUUAACCCCGGGUCUGCAUUCGAUACGGGCUAGCUAGAGUGUGGUAGGGGAGAUCGGAAUUCCUGGUGUAGCGGUGAAAUGCGCAGAUAUCAGGAGGAACACCGGUGGCGAAAGCGCUCAUCUGGCCCGAUACUGACGCUGAUGCGCGAAAGCUAGGGGAGCGAAGCGGG
rnacentral:rRNA from 1 species